CUCUCUCUCUCUCUCUCUCUCUCUCUCUCUCUCUCUCUCUCUCUCUCUCUCUCUCUCUCCGGAAGCUUCAGAGACCAUCUACGAAUUAGUGAUCCAAUUGGGCAUAUGAAUUCGUGCUCCGGUCUCUUGCCCUGUCUCCAUAAAGGAAGAAGAUCUCAUCCCCUCCAUGCGUUGAACUUUGAAGAACGAAGAUCGUCAACGCUUUGAUCGCUGAUUCAUGGGUAAUCUCUCUCGGUCUUUCGACCUCCUGUUCAAAGUGUUUUUUAGGGUUAUCUCUCUUAAUCACUGAAAGUAAUUGUUUGUGUAAGCAUUUUCUGUGCGAUUGAGUUAGCUAUGCAAGUGCAGAAAAUUUCAAGUUUGUUGUCGCUCAGAAUUACUUUCUUCGAGCAACAGAGGUUGAUUUACAGAGGCAGGAUUUUGAAGGACGACCAAACCCUAGAUAGCUAAGGACUACGGUACGGCUUGAUUUAAUUUUAAAGCAUUUUGCCGCUAUGUGUUUGUUAGGAUUUUGUGCUUUUGUGGUUUUUUUUUUUUUUGCUGUUUGUGGUGCAUUUGUCUUUUUGUGUAUAUGAUGUGUGUUUUUUUAAAGGAAGGGAAAAUGGCUUCGAUCUACUGGAGAUGGCUUUGAUUGUGCAUGUUUUUGGGGCGUUUUGAUGUUCCUAACAUUUGGAAGAAAAAGGAGUUUGUGGUUGUGUGCAUGUGUUUGGAUCUUAUAUAUAAAUGCGAGUACAUUCUUUCCCUUGCGCUAUUCUGGAUCGUUGGGUUUUUCUGAUCUUCUGGAGAUGGUUUUGUAUAUGGUGUGUAAUUUUUUUUUUGGAGAAAGGAAAAAUAUGGCUUUCGCAACACAUGGAGCUCAAUAUCACACGAUAAGACCAAAAAAUGGUUUUGAAAAUUGAUUGGGGUAUCAAGAGAUUAAUGAUAGCUAGCUUGUAUUUAUCCAAGGGACAUCUUUAAGCUGCACCUCAGUUUUAGGCGGACAUGAUAAAGAAGGAUUCUGAUUUCAUCGAGUUGCUCGAGAGCGAGCUCAGAAGUUCAAAAGGAUUUUUAGUAGAGAAAGAGGAAGAGUACAUCAUCGUCAAGGUCAUGCUGCAUUAAGUUUUGGGCCUAGGUACCCAUGGUAUUGUUUAUCUUUAUUGCUAUAAAAACUAUAGAAAUUCUAAUGCCUUUCAAUAUCAUUAGGAGGCUCUCUUUUCUAACAUCCAAAAUUUUUGUAGUUGCCAACCGAUUUGGACGCAAAUUUUUGUAUCUUUAUGGUGCAGAUACACACCGCUACAGAUUUCAUUUCUUAAUUGAGGGCCUGAGGUGUAUUUCUUUUUUA